GGCUCAGAACGAACGCUGUCGGCAUGCCUAACACAUGCAAGUCGUACGAGAAAGCUUCUUCGGAAGUGAUUAGAGUGGCGCACGGGUGAGUAACACGUAGGUGAUCUACCAUUUGGCGGGGGAUAACCAGAAGAAAUUCUGGCUAAUACCGCAUACGUACUGCAAUUUUGAAAGUAGCAGUAGAAAGAGUGCCUCUCCUUGGAAGCACUUACCAAAUGAUGAGCCUGCGUAGCAUUAGUUUGAUGGUGGGGUAAUGGCUUACCAUGACUACGAUGCUUAGCUGGUCUGAGAGGAUGAUCAGUCACACUGGAACUGAGACACGGUCCAGACUCCUACGGGAGGCAGCAGUGGGGAAUAUUGCGCAAUGGGGGAAACCCUGACGCAGCAAUGCCGAGUGAGUGAGGAAGGCCUUCGGGUUGUAAAGCUCUGUCAGAAGGGAAUAAUGGUAUAGGGUCCAAUAGGCCUUAUAUUUGAAGGUACCUUCAAAGGAAGCACCGGCUAACUUCGUGCCAGCAGCCGCGGUAAUACGAAGGGUGCAAGCGUUGUUCGGAUUUAUUGGGCGUAAAGCGCGCGCAGGCGGAUUGUUAAGUCAGAUGUGAAAUCUCGGGGCUCAACCCCGAAACUGCGUCUGAAACUGAUAAUCUAGAAUCUCGGAGAGGGAAGGGGAAUUUCGCAUGUAGGGGUAAAAUCCGUAGAGAUGCGAAGGAACACCAGAGGCGAAGGCGCCUUCCUGGACGAGUAUUGACGCUGAGGCGCGAAAGCGUGGGUAGCAAACAGGAUUAGAUACCCUGGUAGUCCACGCCGUAAACGAUGUGCACUAGAUAUUGGAGGUUUGACCCCUUCAGUGUCGUAGCUAACGCAUUAAG
rnacentral:rRNA from 1 species